rnacentral:rRNA from 1 species
CCCGCAGCACAAGUGGUGGUCAUUAUUAUUGGGCCUAAAGCGUCCGUAGCUGGCCUGUUAGAUGCCUGGGUAAAUCGAUGCGCUCAACGCAUCGAACUCCGGGUAGACCGGCAGGCUUGGGACCGGGAGAGGCGUGAGCUACUCGAGGGGUAGGGGUAAAAUCCUGUAAUCCUUCGGGGAGGACCAGUGGCGAAGGCGUCACGCUAGAACGGCUCCGACAGUGAGGGACGAAGCCCUGGGGCGCAAACCGGAUUAGAUACCCGGGUAGUCCAGGGUGUAAACGCUGCAGACUUGGUGUCGGUGAUCCUACGAGGGUUGCCGGUGCCGUAGAGAAGUUGUUUAGUCUGCCGCCUGGGGAGUACGGUCGCAAGACUG